UACAGAGGUCCCAAGCGUUACUGAGAAUCACUGGGUUUAAAGGGUGCGUAGGUGGUCCGUUAAGUCAGUCGUGAAAUCCCCGGGCUCAACCCGGGAACUGCUUCUGAUACUGGCGGACUUGAGGCCAGUAGGGGUCACUAGAACUGACGGUGGAGCGGUGAAAUGCGUAGAUAUCGUCAGGAAUGCCGGUGGUGAAGACGGGUGACUGGGCUGGUUCUGACACUGAGGCACGAAAGCGUGGGGAGCGAACGGG
rnacentral:rRNA from 1 species